CAAAGGUUUGGUCCUGACUUUACUAACAACUCUAGCUAAAAUUACACAUGCAAGUAUCCGCGCCCCUGUGCGAAUGCCCUAACAGUUCCCUGCCCGGGAACAAGGAGCUGGUAUCAGGCACACCCUCCUCCAAGCCCACGACACCUUGCUUAGCCACACCCCCAAGGGAAUCCUGCAGUGAUAGACAUUGAACCAUAAGUGAAAACUUGACUCAGUUAAUGUUAAGAGGGUCGGUAAAACUCGUGCCAGCCACCGCGGUUAUACGAGUGAUCCUAGUUGUUAGACAGCGGCGUAAAGAGUGGUUAAGAAAACCUCCAAACUAAAGCCGAACGCUUAUCAGAGCUGUUAUACGCUUCCGAAAGUAAGAAGUUCAAUCACGAAAGUGGCUUUACAUAAUCUGACCCCACGAAAGCUAUGGCACAAACUGGGAUUAGAUACCCCACUAUGCUUAGCCCUAAACAUUGGCAGUACACUACACCCCCUGCCCGCCUGGGUAGUACGAGCAGUAGCUUGAAACUCAAAGGACUUGGCGGUGCUUUAGACCCCCCUAGAGGAGCCUGUCCUAUAACCGAUAAUCCCCGUUCAACCUCACCUUUUCUUGUUCCCCCCGUCUAUAUACCACCGUCGUCAGCUUACCCUGUGAGGGCCUCAUAGUAAGCAAAAUUGGCACAGCCCAAAACGUCAGGUCGAGGUGUAGCGUAUGAAAAGGGAAGAGAUGGGCUACAUUCUCUCUUGUAGAGAACACGGACGAUCACGUUGAAAUACGUAUACUGAAGGAGGAUUUAGCAGUAAGCAGGAAACAGAGUGUCCUACUGAAGCCGGCCCUGAAGCGCGCACACACCGCCCGUCACUCUCCCCAAGAUUCUUAUAUUCAUAUAAUUAAAACCCUACAACAAUAGAGGGGAGGCAAGUCGUAACAUGGUAAGCGUACCGGAAGGUGCGCUUGGAAAAUU
rnacentral:ncRNA from 1 species